GCGAGGAAGCUGCAAGAUGCGCCGGCGGUGAACCUCAACGCGUCCUACUCCUCGGAGGCCUCCGUGGAGUCGCUCCAUGGCCGGGCCCCAGGCGGAAGGACGGAGAGGGGCUGGUCCCGGCCGACCGCGCCCAAGCGUGGGAAGGCUGCGUCUAAGGUGGUGGAGAAGCACGCCGAUGUCACGGAGGUUGCCGCUCCGGUGACACCGGAGGCCGUCCGAGGGAGGAGCCUGUGCGCCUGGGUGACUCCGACCACCGUUGGAGAUGCUGCUGCUAUUUGUUCAGAUUGGGGGAGGCUAGAGAGGCUUGCUUGAUGUUGUGUUUGCUACGUCAGAGAGCAGUGAGAACUGAGAUUUGGGUGGGGUGGGGGUGGAGGUAGCAGGGAGAGGAUGUUUACUCGAUGGAAGAUGAUAGGGUAUGUUGCUUGCUACUGCUACUGUGUGUGUUAUUGUGUUGUUUUGUAGUAUUUCUGAACUGUUAGAGAUAUUGUCGCAGUGAGAUUUUGUUCCCAAUAUGGAUAUAUGGUCUUUUCCAGUGCAUGGCAAAA